GCCCGGCUGGCGCAAUUGGCUAGCGCACAAGACUUCUAAUCCUUCUUUGUAGAAGUGCAUCUUGAGGCUGUGGGUUCGAGUCCCACGUCGGGUG